rnacentral:rRNA from 1 species
CCUGAGAAACCCAAAAGAUCGAAUGAGGAGAUUCAUCGUCAGCACAUUUAGUAUAUGUAUGAGUUGCGAUAUAAAUUAUCUUUGGAUUAUGUUUAUACGCUCUUGUUCAUUUUAUUGCUGAAUGUUGUCGGCGUGCACUUCUCCUCUAGUAGGACGUCGCGACCCGUUGAGUGUCAUUUUAUGGCCUAGAUGGUAGACUUUCAUUUUUAUAUGUAAGACCUCUGGUGACCUAAUUGGCUGCUCGACGGUAAUCGCACGGUAUUGAGUCGCAAUAAUUUGCGUCAGGCCCGUCACAAGCGCGGCUAGUAUCCUAGUAGUGCGGAUAUAAUGCCGUUACUGGGGCUGGCCAGCUGUUGGUAGUACGGUGUUCUUUGACUGGCUCAAAUAUUAAUUACCGGUCGGCGACGCUACUGCUUUGGGUACUUUCAGGACCCGUCUUGAAACACGGACCAAGGAGUCUAACAUGUGCGCGAGUCAUUGGGAUUUUUUAUAUAUAUUAAACCUAAAGGCGCAAUGAAAGUAAAGGUCGUCCUUGUGUCGACUGAGGGAGGAUGAGUUGCGUUACGAUGACAGCUCCGCACUCCCGGGGCGUCUCAUUCUCAUUAUGAGAAGAGGCGCAC